UCCCUAAACCGUACAACAUGCCAAACAGAUACUACUCAUAGAGAAUCAAAACAUAAUGGUGCAUGAAUUUUACACAACAGAAUUGGAAAAUUUCUAACUAACUUUCUAAGUUACUUCGAAACUAGCUCAGUCCGAUUUGAUACUGCCAAGACUCUCAGACACUAAUCUCAUCCUCGGACGAACCUCUGGAUCCAUUUCCGUGCAGUUCAAGGCAACAUGAAUGGCUGCAAUAACUUGCUUAUCUGCGUCUAAAAUCUCAGCCACCCAGUUUCCUCACAACAUGCACAAGUUCUUCUCCAAUCGCCA